rnacentral:tRNA from 2 species
AAGAGAAUUAUAAAAUUUAGCUGCUAACUAAAUAAAGAGCAAAAAAUGUUCAUCUCUUA